rfam:Candidatus Colwellbacteria bacterium RIFCSPLOWO2_12_FTLL_44_13 rifcsplowo2_12_scaffold_16764, whole genome shotgun sequence.
AUACCAGAGAAUUUGAUCCUGGUUCAGGAUGAACGCUGGCGGCGUGGAUAAGGCAUGCAAGUCGUGCGUCUUUAUUCCGUGUUGUAGCAAUACAACAUGGAAUGAGGUAGCGGCGAACGAGUUAGUAACACCAUGGUAACCUACCCUUAAGCGGGGCAUAGCUUGCCGAAAGGCGAGGUAAUACCCCAUAGCAAUGCGGGGACAUAUGUCAUUCGCAUUUAAAGAUCAUCGCAAGAUGAAUCACUUUUGGAGGGGCCUAGGUCUGAUCAGCUAGUUGGUAAGGUAAUGGCUUACCAAGGCUAUGACCAGUAGGGGGGCUGAGAGGCUGAUCCUCAACGACGGAACUGAGACACGGUCCGUACACCUACGGGUGGCAGCAGUCGAGAAUAUUCGACAAUGGGCGAAAGCCUGAUCGAGCGACGCCGCGUGCAGGAAGAAGGUCUUCGGAUUGUAAACUGCUUUUCAUAGGGAGGAAGGCCACGUUUACGUGGUUUGACGUUACCUAUGGAAUAAGGGGUUGCUAACUCUGUGCCAGCAGCAGCGGUAAUACAGAGACCCCAAGCGUUAUCCGGAUUUAUUGGGCGUAAAGGGUGCGUAGGGGGUCAUGUGCGUCUAUUGUCAAACCUCACCGCUUAACGGUGAGCUUGCGGUGGAUACGGCAUGACUUGAGGAUGCGAGAGGUGUGUAGAACGCACGGUGUAGGGGUGAAAUCCGUUGAUAUCGUGCGGAAUACCAGAGGCGAAGGCGGCACACUGGCGCAUUCCUGACCCUGAGGCACGAAAGCGUGGGGAGCAAAAAGGAUUAGAUACCCUUGUAGUCCACGCCCUAAACGAUGCCGGCUAGCUGUUUCGAGUAUCGACCCUCGAAGUGGCGUAGCUAACGCGUUAAGCCGGCCGCCUGGGAAGUACGAGCGCAAGCUUAAAACUCAAAGGAAUAGACGGAGACUCGCACAAGUGGUGGAGCAUGAGGUUUAAUUCGAUACAGAACGAAGAACCUUACCAGGGUUAGAAAUCUUAGUGGAAAGCUGACCGAAAGGUUGGCCCUCUCUCAAGGACCACUAGGACAGGUGAUGCAUGGUUGUCGUCAGCUCGUGUCUUGAGAUGUUCCCUUAAGUGGGGUAACGAGCGCAACCCGUGUCCUGUGUUAUAUGUGUCACAGGAGACUACCUCGUUUUUCGAGGAGGAAGCGCGGACGACGUCAAAUCAGCAUGUCCCUCCGAUAUCCUGGGCCACACUCAUGCUACAAUGGUCACAACAGAGGGUUGCCAAACCGUAAGGUGGAGCUAAUCCCUAAAAAGUGGCCUCAGUUCAGAUUGAGGGCUGAAAUUCGCCCUCAUGAAGCCGGAAUCACUAGUAAUCGCAGGUCAGCUAUACUGCGGUGAAUACGUUCUCGAGUCUUGUACUCACGAUAAAAGCGCGCAGCAGGUUAUACGACUAGACCGUUU